GAUGAAGAGCGUAGCGAAAUGCGAUAAGUAGUGUGAAUUGCAGAAUUCAGUGAAUCAUCGAAUCUUUGAACGCACAUUGCGCCCCUUGGUAUUCCAUGGGGCAUGCCUGUUCGAGCGUCAUUUGUACCUUCAAGCCUUGCUUGGUGUUGGGUGUUUGUCUCGCCUCUGCGCGCAGACUCGCCUCAAAACAAUUGGCAGCCGGCGUAUUGAUUUCGGAGCGCAGUACAUCUCGCGCUUUGCACUCAGAACGACGACGUCCAAAAGUACAUUUUUACACUCUUGACCUCGGAUCAGGUAGGGAUACCCGCUGAACUUAAGCAUAUCAAUAAGCGGAGGA
rnacentral:misc_RNA from 1 species